rnacentral:lncRNA from 1 species
UGUUUUUUUUAUUAUUUGAAAUUUUUUGAGAAUUUCCUAUAUGAGUACUAUACUUACUUCAUUCCCAACACCUUCCUUUUCUCUCCUUAAAAUUCCUCCCAUGUCCACUAAUUUAUUACAACUGCUGCAAUUCUUAGAGGCUUGAGUUCCCCCAUUUGUGUUGGCAUCAUUAUAGAGGCUUUGUUUAUGCAACCAUACUGUAGUGAUUUCAUGGAUUCCACAGCAUCCCUCUGACUUCCUUUGUUAAGAAGAUUUUUCUUUAUCACUGGAAAUCAAUCUUGGUUUUUAUUUUAUUGUCACGGUAUAAUCAUUGUUCUAUAAGACUCAAGUUUAACCUUUUGAUGUUGCUUAACUCCUUAUAUUUAUUUCUAUUGUUUGGGUUUCCUGUUCCUUCCAUCCUGUAUCCAUUUUCUAGGCACCCAAAGCAAAGAAGUUUACAAAUGAAAGCAUUUAACUGGGGGCUUGCUUAUAGUUUCAGAGGGUUAGUCCAUGUUAUCACAGGGUGUGUGUGUGUGUGUGUGUGUGUGUGUGUGUGUGUGUGGGAGCAUGAUUAGGCGGCCAGGCAGGCAGUCAUGACUAUAGAUCAGCAGCUGGAAGCUUUACAUCCCGAUGCACAGAGAGGAGGCAGAAAGGGACUGAGACUGGGCUGGAUGUGGGCUUUUGGAACUCCAGUGCCACACCUCCUCCAAUAAGGCCACACCUCCUGACCCUACCCAAACAGUUCCACUAACUAAAACCCAAACAUUCGAAUAUAUGAGCUGUUCUCAUUCAAACACCCACACCUUCUUUCAUGGAUUAAUUAUGUCUUUUAGAGUACAUCAUUUCUUAGAAAAGUAAAUGUUGUAGAUCUUUAAAAUUUCUACCUUUUUGUUUGUUUGUUUGUUUUGAAAUCCUUCAUUUCCCAUUAAGUGGUCGUUUUGUUACUGGGAAGAUUCUGAACCUACCGACAUCAGUCAUUUUUCACCUUGCACCCUUUGGUAUCCUUUUGUUUCUUUUCUCCCAAAUGACAACAUUCUGGCAAGGGUUCACUUUCCUGUGUGUGUCUUCUUGGCGGCUGAGGCUACAUGAUGUUGGGAAAAAGGGAUUUUUGUUUUGUUUUCUGGUGCUGGUGAUGAAACCUGUGUCUGUGGUUAUGCCAGGCAAGAACUGUUCCCCAGCAGCAGCUGGCUUGUCCCUGUGCUGGGCAUAUGUGAGCUUUUUUGGGGUCUGAGGACUUAGAAAGCUCGAGUGUGGUCAACAUUCUAUUGUUGAUUUCUUUGACAAUGCCUUCUGUCAGUAGUAUCUUGUUUCUUUUAUCUGAAAAUAGAGCCCUUAGUAGUUCGAUAAAGCUUCUUGUUCUUUUUAGUUUAAUUUUUGUCUUUUAUAUUUAAAAACUUUUAGGAAAUUUGUUUGUAUACAUACAAGUCACUCACUUUAAUGUAUGGCUUUUCUAAAUUUUGCCAAAUGUGAUCAGUAGUAUAAUUGUCACCAACAUUAAAAUGGUUAUUUUGAUCAAAUUGAUGGAUGAAUGGACAAACAAGUACACGCUUUCUCUCUCUCUCUCUCCCUCUCUCUCUCUCUCUCUCUCUCUCUCUCACACACACACACACACACACACACACACACACCACCAUCCCACUAUAUAAAGGGAAGCAUUUAAUGGGGGGGGCUUGCUUAUAGUUUCAGAGGGUUAGUCCGUGUUCAUCUUUAAAUGGAAAGAUGCUGAGACACAAUACUACUACAUGAGUGAAUUGGGAGGUCACUGUGAAGUGGACUGUUACAGGAAGACAACCAUCCUGUGGUUUCAUUUCUGCAAGGCAGUGGAGUAGUUAAUUUCAUAGACAUGAACAGUGGUCAGAGCCAAGGGGCGUUAGCAGAGUGCUAUGGUUUAUCGGGUAGGGAAGUUUCGGUUUUGCAAGACUCAAGAGUUCUGGAGAUGGGUGGUGGUGACAGCUGCUUGUCAGUGUGAGUGUCCUUCAUGUCACUUAACUGUCAAAUGAGAAAUGAUUACAGUAACAAAUUCUAUGCACGUCAUCUCAGUUUCAGAGAGAUGCAGGUCCAGUUACAGAUCUUUCUUCCCUCUGAUUCUUUCUCAUAUUUUAAAAAUCAGUUAAGGCUUAUUUUUUGAUGAUGUUGCCUGAGACAUUUUUGCUGCGAAGUUGCAGCAUACUAGUGCUUGCUCACCGUAGGAAGGGAAGCUGUGAGGGCCCAAAGUCGUAAUUGCACGGAAGUCCCACCUGGUGAAUGGGUUUCAGUUGGGGUUGCUACAUAGGACUACGGUUGUGAGGGGGGUGGGGGCUACUUAAAGGAACAGAGGCAAUUCCAAAGCAGCUGCAUCACUGAAACGCCUACCCCAAAGAGGGUGAGAACUCAAAAUAGCUGCAGCCUGGAGCUCGCAGCACAGCUUGCAGGCAGAGUAAGAGGUUUGAGAAUCUCCUCUCAGAGACUUGGCAGGUCAUCCUCCAUCCUCAGCAGUGGUUUCUCAGGACCCCCACCCUGCCCCUAGCUGAGAAUGUUUCAGUUCAGAUGAAACAUCUAUACAGGCCAUAUACGUAGUCUCCAAUAUAUUUUACUCUGCAAGUCUAUUGGUUUCUUAUAAAAUGCCAUUAAACAUAGUCUGUGCUUAAUCUCAUGUGUUUGUUGUUUGCUUGGAGACAGGGUUUCUCCAUGUAGCCCUGGCUGUCCGGGUCUACUUAAUCUGUAGACCAGGCUGGCCGUGAACUCAGAGAUCUGCCUGCGUCUGCCUCCUGAAUGCUGGGAUUAAAGGCGUGUGCCACCACCUGUCAGCUUUAAUCUGAUGUGUUUGAAUAGUUUUCUGGUUGUUACUUUUUCAAAGACUAUUGCCACUAUGAUACAGUUGUCUUGUCACCUUGAAUUUCUGAGGUUAGUAAUUGUUUUGAAGUUCUUUUAUUUUUUUUUCUGUAUCUUUAGGAAAGACACUUUAUUGGCUUAUUUUUAUUAUUUUAUAUGUAUGGGUGUAUUGCCUGCAUAUAUGUCUAUGGGCCAUAUAUGUACAGAAGGCAUUGGAUUCCCUGGAAUUAAAGUUACAGAUAAUUGUGAGCCAACGUGUGGGUGCUAGGAAUUGAACCAAGACUUUUGGAAGAGCAGCCGGUGUUCUUAACCACUGCGCCAUCUCUCCAGCUCCUUUUUGCUAGUUUAUAAAUGUUUGUUUUACAUCCUGUUCUAAAUAUUUGCUUCUUAUGUUUUCUGUUGACAUUGGGGUACCCAAAAGUUUUGGGGAGACAUGGUC